GGAUGUGAGGGCUACCUGGCUGUGACAACUGUCACCUCAUUGAUCACCAGAGUUAACUGGGCUGAUCUGGCUGGCUAGGCAGGUGACCUCUUCUUCCCUCAUUGCUCCAAGUGUGGCCCUCCCAAAAAUGCACACAUUGUUAAAGAGGACAGCUACCCCAAUAGAGGAAGACCGUUUCCUUGGCCAAGGAUAUAUGAGUGGCUGCUAGAACCCCCAAGCAAGUUCUCAAGGUCAAACAGUCACUGUGUGGAUUCUAACAGAAUAUAUAAUGGCCAUAGAAGAAGCCCUUAGAAUAUCUCUUUUAGAAAAUAUUU
ensembl:misc_RNA 7SK 7SK RNA